CAGAGUUUGAUGACCCCAGGACCUGGAAUUGACCUAGUCGGAGAGAUCAAGGAAGGCUUCCCUAAGGAAGUGGUGCAGAGCUGAGAUCGGAAGAAGCAGGGAUGUUCUCCACAGGAAGAACAUGCUCAGAAGCCCAGUCAGCAGCAGGAAGGAGUGUGGUGAUUUUGAGGAACCGAAAGAAGACCAGCAUGGCUGGAGAACAGAGGAUGGGGGUGUGAUAUGUGACGAGUGAAGAGAAGUCACCCAUACUUCAUUUACCAGUCCUUGCUAAGGAUUAUUCAUUAAAACACACAACAGCAACAAUAACCACAAAAGCAACAAUAAAAAUACCUUUGAACUCACUCAAUCUUGAACUAUUGAACAUGCUAAGUCCGUGUCAUUGGCCUACUUAAUCAGCCCUCG
rnacentral:lncRNA from 1 species